UACGUAGGGGGCAAGCGUUGUCCGGAAUCAUUGGGCGUAAAGAGCGUGUAGGCGGCCCGGUAAGUCCGCUGUGAAAGUCCAGGGCUCAACCCUGGAAUGCCGGUGGAAACUGUCGGGCUAGAGUCCGGAAGAGGCGAGUGGAAUUCCUGGUGUAGCGGUGAAAUGCGCAGAUAUCAGGAGGAACACCAAUGGCGAAGGCAGCUCGCUGGGACGGUACUGACGCUGGAGACGCGAAAGCGUGGGGAGCAAACAGG
rnacentral:rRNA from 1 species